UGCGCUGCCGGGCGGGCGGAGAAGGAAGGAGGAAGAGUGGAGGCUGGGGCAGGCGGGCUCUAGGCCUUUGAAUCUUGGGCCUUGACUCCCCUUCCUCUCCUCAGCACUCACUCUGUGGGGGGCAGGCGGCUCGGUGACAGGAUCCAGGAGAAGCGGAAGACGAAUCCCUAACCUGGAAGACUUAUGUCCUCCCCUACCAUGUACUCUAAUUCCUGCACAUAUUUUUGCCCCCAGUGCUAAUGGUUCCCAAUGUUCCCCGUCUCCCUAUAAAAAGAAGGAAUGGGAAGCUGUGGCUUCGUUUCUCUGGUG